ACCUGGUUGAUCCUGCCAGUAGUCAUAGG
rnacentral:rRNA from 1 species